rnacentral:rRNA from 1 species
GAGUUUGAUCCUGGCUCAGGAUGAACGCUGGCGGCGUGCUUAACACAUGCAAGUCGAACGGGAAUUACUUUAUUGAAACUUCGGUCGAUAUGAUUUAAUUCUAGUGGCGGACGGGUGAGUAACGCGUGGGUAACCUGCCUUAUACAGGGGGAUAACAGUCAGAAAUGACUGCUAAUACCGCAUAAGACCACGGUACCGCAUGGUACAGUGGUAAAAACUCCGGUGGUAUGAGAUGGACCCGCGUCUGAUUAGGUAGUUGGUGGGGUAACGGCCUACCAAGCCGACGAUCAGUAGCCGACCUGAGAGGGUGACCGGCCACAUUGGGACUGAGACACGGCCCAGACUCCUACGGGAGGCAGCAGUGGGGAAUAUUGCACAAUGGGGGAAACCCCGAUGCAGCGACGCCGCGUGAAGGAAGAAGUAUCUCGGUAUGUAAACUUCUAUCAGCAGGGAAGAUAGUGACGGUACCUGACUAAGAAGCCCCGGCUAACUACGUGCCAGCCGCCGCGGUAAUAC